rnacentral:lncRNA from 1 species
CUGCAUCUCAUCCUGGUCACGACUAACUAGAAACGAGUCAGCACCAAGAUGCUCAAGGGCUUCUUGUUUCUUCUUGGGAGAGGUGCUAAUAACUGUAACCUUGACCCCCAUGGCCUUUGCAAACUUUACAGCUACAUGACCUAGCCCGCCGAGCCCAACCACGCCCACAUGCAUACCCGGUUUGUCAAGAUUAAAAAACCUCAAGGGGCUGUAAACUGUAAUCCCAGCACAUAGGAGAGGUGCGGCGGCAUCUAGAGGUAGGUUGUCUGGAAUAUGAACAAGGAAGUGCUCAUCUACGACCAUAAUGUCCGAGUAGCCCCCGUAUGUGGUGGUUCCGUCGUGGUAUUUGCUGGCAUAGGAGAGUAUCAUUUUUGGGCAAUAAUUCUCGAGAUGGCUGUUGCAACUAUCGCAAGAGCGGCAUGAUCCAACCAUGCACCCCACCCCCACUUUGUCUCCAACUUUGAUCUUCUCGACUUUGCUUCCUACCUCUGUCACUUCCCCGACAAUCUCAUGCCUGCAUUGCCAAUUUAAUUUAAUUAACCUCCAGCGGCGGAGCUGGUAAUAAUUGGUAGCGAAGGUCAAAAUUAAUAUAAAAAAGAUAUAUUAUUAAAAAGUUUAUCUAUUUAAAAUAAAAAAUAUUUUAUAUUUUAUAUUUAAAUAAUAAAUAAUAAAAAGUUUAAAAUGUUUUGUGGAGCCAGACCCUGCUUGCCUCCCCUAGUUCCGCCCUGCCUCAUAUGCAAGGCAUGGAUGAAUUGAUUCCAGUCAAAGCAGUUCCUCUAAACAUUUUCGUUGGACUGUCAAUUGCCAUCCAUCAUGUUUAUGUACAAAAAAUCAAGAGAAAUAACUAUACGGUCAUAGAUUUUUUUCUUGCUGUGUGUACAUACCCGGGAACUAGAGGGUACGUGGACAUACCCCAAUCAUUCUUGGCCAUAUGAAGGUCUGUGUGACAUAUUCCACAAAACAGCACCUUGAAUCGCACAUCCUUCUCUCCUGUAGACCUGUUGCAAGAGGUGUUUCUUGCUUAGCAUAAACCGCAAAUGAAAACGAGAGAUAUUCAUAGGUAGAAAAUCUAUCAGAUCGCCAUUCACCAACCAUAAUAUUACUAAACAUAUAUAUAAAGCUAUAAACAUGUGAUUCAAUAAACUUAUUUCACAUAUUAAAAAUAAAAGGCUGCCAUAUCUGAUGUAGCCCAUCUUGCAGCUGUGCUGCAUGCUUGUUGGUGUUUAGAAAAACAAGAAGAAAAUGGAUCUAAGUAAACAGAGCUAGACAAAGAGAGAGAAGAAGUCCCAUAAUUAAAUAAAUAAAGCAGCGACAAGAUGGAGGAGAGGGAAUAACCUCCUGGAGAAUUUGAAAGGAGAGAGGACGCCGGAUUGGUCUCUGGCUGCCCAUCCAAAAGCCUUGGUAGGAUGUUCUUCCUCGUAAGAUUUUUCUGCCAUUUCCACCCUCUUUUUUCCUUUAUUUGGUACUGCCGAGAGAGUGUGCAUGGUGCACUAAUUUAUAAUGGGCAGGGAUGACAUACUGGGUGAGCUAAGCACCUUUAGUCGCUCAUCCGUGAGCUAAUCAAUUACCUCGACAGAAAAGCCAUCUGUCCAUUAGCUAGUUAUAAAAUUGGAAACAAUCACGUUGGUUUAUUUAUGUGUUUUAAAAAUAAUUUUUUUAAUUAAUAUAUUUUAAUAUUUUUAAAUUAUUUUAAUACACUAAUAUCAAAAUUAAUUUUUAAAACAUAUAAAAAAUAUAUUAUAUUAAUAAAAUUUUAAAUAAAAAAUAUUUUAAAAAAUAAUAAUAGCCUCAACCAUAGAAGAGUUUCGAAUCUCAAGUACACGCUGUCGUUUACUGUCAACUCUAUUUCCUUGCGUUGAAUUAACAAGUGACAAGUGAAUUUCCGGCCUCCAAACCAAUGGUUGUGUGCCUCCUAAUAAAAUAAUAUAUUGGAGAAGUUUUGAACCGCACUUUAUUUAUUCUCUUUAUGGAUCAACAAGUAAUAAACAUUCAUAAAAAGAGAUGCAAGUAUGCCUGGUAGCCAGACCAGGUGAACGCAAGAAAAUAAUGGCAAAAAAAAAAACCAAUUCACCAAAAACAAUAUUAUAUGAACCGCAUUUUAUUUAUUCUCUUUAUGGAUCAACAAAUAAUAAAAUCUUGAUUCUUAAAACAAUAAAUAAAAUCAUGAACAGCAAACCAUUUUCUCUUUUUGCAUCAACAGAUAAUAAAAUCAAGAACAACAGGCAAGGUAAUUACACAAAGUCCCUCAAAAAGAAAGUCAAGCGAGCAGAGACAACAACAGGGAUGAGCAAAACACAGCCGCGGACAUCCCCAGAGAAUAGGCUGCUCCCUUGUCCAUUGUUGGUGCAGGUGCUGGCUCCAUCUCAAGAUCUUGAGCAGUAACAGUUGCAAAAUACAUGGCCACAACAAAGAAGAUGGCCAUAGCCUUGAAUGCACACACUAAUUGUGCCAUGGAGACAGAGAAAAAUAGAACUUUUGUGGUUGGUUGCCACAUGGUUUGGGUUGGUUAAGCUGCUUCAAUCCCAAGGACCUUAACUUGUAAGGAAAAUUCUAGUGUGGGACUUUGGGCAGUUUGUAACUCCGAGCUUUUCUAAAUUUUGAAAAUUUUUAUUUAUUUAUUUUAUUUUUUAUAUUUUUUCAUCAUAUAUUAAUAUUAAAAAUAAUUUUAAGAAAAUAAAAUAAUUAUUACAAGAAUCACAAACAUCCCUUUUCAUUACACUCUAAAAUACAAUGCUAAAAUUUUGAAACACAUUUUACACCUUAAAUUUCAAUAUUUCUUUCGGUUGGCCCAUGUUAAAACACGUUGAAGGUUAAAGAAAACCUUCGUGGCUAAAUCACUAUAGCCAUGUUCACAUGAUUUUAUUCACUAUAAUACUGUUCUAAGUUUUUAUUUUUACUUUUUUUUAUUUCAUCACGAUCUAUCAUUGAUUUUUAGUUUGUUUUCAAUUUUAAUAUUUAAUAUUAUGUUUUUUUAAAAAUUCUAUUUUGUAAAUUUUUUAUUUUUAUAUAUUGGGUUAUAUAUUAGUUUCAUGAAUUUAAUUUUUUUCUUAUAAUUUUUUUCAACUUGCUUUUUAUAAAUUUACUGAGAUCGCGGGUUUAAUAAGUUAACCGAGGUUGGCUUGGGUUUUUUUAGCCGCCUUUUCUAAUUAAUUAUUUUUUAUUCUUCAACAUUGAGUUAGUUGAAAAUUAGAUUUGAUUUUUUUUCUUUUUUUAAUUGAGCAUUUUUUAUGGGGCUUUAUAAAAAAAUUUGAAUUUUUUUUUUAGGGUUAUCUCGAUCUCAUAAUUUAGAUCACAAGUUUAAUAGGUUGAUCCAAGUUAACUCUAUUCAUUUUUUAUGUUUUUUUAAAAUUAAAAAUAUUUUAAAAAACUUUCACCGCUCAAAAACUCAAAUCUUCCUCUCUUUUUUUAAUUUUUUUUUUAAUUUCAUCUCUCGAUAUUAAGUUGUUUAGAAGUUUAGCUAGGUAAUUUUUUUCAAUUUGCAUUUUGUAGAGUUAUCCUGGUUUUAUAGAUAAAUUUCUUUUCUUUAAAUUUCAACCUUUAACAUUAAAUCAAUUAAAAAUAGAGCUCCAUGACUUUUUUAUUUAUUUGCCUUUUAUAAUGUUACCUGGAUCUUAUGAUCCAGGUCGCGAGUUUAACAGGCUAACCCAGGUUGACUUGGGUUGUUUCUUGUCCUUUUAAUUUUCUUAUUUCAUCAUUUUAAAUCGUGUUGAUUGGAAAUUAAGCUCAUAAGUUUGUUUCCUUGUUUUUUAUAGGAUUAUCUCAAUCUCAUGGUCCAGAUCCUGAUUUUUGCAAGUUGAUUUAAGUAGUUUUUUUGUCCUUUUUUUAAUUUAAUAUUCUUUUUUUUUAAUUUCAUUCUUCAGCUUUUGAAUGAUUAGGAAUUGACUUCCAUUGUAUAUUUUGAUUUGUUUUUUUUUAUAGGGUUGUUACAAUCUCAAGACUUGAAUUGCGAAUCUGACAAGUUAAUCCGGAUUGAUCCAAUAUAUAAUUACCUUUUAAUAUGUUACUCUAUUAAUAUUUUUUUUAAAAUACACCAUUCAAUAUGCAUUACCUUUUAAGUUUAUAAUUGAUUUUUCUUAUUAAGAAACAUGUCAAUAAUGCUUCAACAUUUGUUUUUAAGUAGUAGUGACAGUAAUAGUAGUAGUAGUAGUAGUAGUAAUAGUUGUGAAUGUAGUGGUAAUAAUAAUAAUAUUAUUAAUAAUAAUAAUACUAGUGGUAAUGAUACUAGCUAGAAGUACUAGCAACAACAAUGAUAAUAAUAAAAAAAAUUGAUCUGCAGAUAAAAGUUGAUCUCGCCUCAAAGUUCCUCCCUUUUUAAAAAAAUUAACGCUGCUUAAAAUUAAAAAUUUAGUAAAAUAAUAUAUACAUAAAAAUUAUAAACUCCAAAAUGAAAAAGAAAAAAAGCAAAGCCCAUUUAUAUUGCUAAAAUGAAUAUUAUAAAAAGAGUUGCUAAAACGAAAUAAUAAUUUAUUAAUAUCAAAGAAAAUACACAAGUUCUAAUAAAUCGAUAUACACAUGCCCCUCGUCUUAAAAAAAGAAAUACAACCACAAGCAAACCCACAUAUAAAAAAUAAAUCUUUAUUUCACUGUAUAAACAAAUUAUAUAAUAUACUAAAAAAGAGUCAAUCCUCUUCUUAAUAUUUAGCUAGACUCAAAGCACUAUGGAUUGAAGCAGUGUAAUAGCAACUUAGGCGCCCUUUACAAAGAGAGUUGCGAGGGUAGUGGGGUUGUCUUUUUAUUUGGAUGCAUUUGACAUUGAAUAGAUAGUUGGAGAGAAAAUGAUCACUUCAAGUUUGGGUGGGGCUACUCUAGGUGUCAGCCAAGCUUGCUCACCUACAUGAGGACACCUGGCGUUUAAGUUGACCUGCAUCACAUGGAGCUUGGACUGGCUUGCUCUUGCCAUGGGUGGCAGCCAAGCCCGCGCACUCACGUGAGGAUACUUGACGCUUGGGCUGCCCUGCCCUGCCCUUAUCUUGGAUCUGACCCGAGCGCCACGUGGUGCUAGGCUGGCAUGUCUUUGCCUUAGACGAGAGCCAGACUCAUACCCUCACAUGAAAACACUCGACGCUGGGGUUGCCUUGCCUUGAACAAAGCCAAACCGCUCAACUUGGGUCCAAACAUGCUCCAAGCCCAAUAAACUGGUUUUGCAUGGAAGUGUCCAAGUCCAAUUAGAAGUACUCAUGGCAACACUUGGAGUCCUGAUUUUAUUUCCCUAUCUUGGUAAACCGUUACCUAACACUAUUCCUCAUUUCAAACACUCAACGUAAUUUGUGUUAGCAUGGAAAGUUAGCACAAAAAAUUGAUUUCAAAUUAAUUAAUAGGAUUAAUUUAAGAAGAUCAAAGUUGAAAAACUAAUUUUUAAAUGAUCAUUUAUCUGUUUUGUAAUGGGAUUAAUUUAAGGAGAUCAAAGUUGAAUUAAAAACUCAUUUUUAAAUGAUCAUUUAUCUGUUUUUUAAAGACCACGUACUAUAUCUUUGUAGCACUAUUGUCAGCCUGGCAAUGAAAGGCAACAUGGUAAUUAAAAACUUCAAAUUAGUGGUCAACAUUCAACACAUAAAAAAAUAGUGAGACAGAAAGCAGUUGUUUUCCAUGUCCCACUUCCACACAAAUGAUAUGUUAAUUUAAUCAAUUUUGAAUUAUGGGAUAGUGACCUAAUUAAUUUAACAAUUCAACAUCUUAAUAUUUUUAAUUGUAAGAGUACUUUCCUCGUCCAUGUUUGACGUCCUUUAUUCUAAACUCAUCCAAGCACUGGUUGUACAACGAAAAUCAACACCAAACACAUAAAAUAUUAAGAGAGAAGUAGUUCUUUCUCCGUCAAAUAAUUAAAGGAGGAAAGUUUUUUUUUUGUGUGUUUUAGAGAGAGAAAAGAUGGAAAUAAAUUAAUUUUAUUCAAUGUGUGGGAAUGAAUAGAUCAUUGAUUAAAUUGACGCUAAGGGUUUAAGUAAUUAUGAUAAAGGAAAAUAAAUUGAUAAAUGUCCAAAGAAUAAGGUCAUGUCUGCAAAUAACAGGGUUGCUCUCUUGGUUGAAAUCUGAUACUUUUCCACUGUACUGAGUAAAAGCAUGUGCAUAUGAAAAUAAAUCUUAAACGGAUAAGUGAUAACGUUGAAGUACGGGCGCUUGAAAAGAAAAACAUCGCAGUUUUCUUAUCUUAAAUUGGGCUGGGUUAGCCGAAAUGUACUCCAUUAAUCGAUUCAUAUAAAGUGACGCUCUCCAGAUAGAGAUGUUUUUAUAUUUUUACAUGGCUAUUAGUCAUUAUAAAUUUAAUUGAUAAUAUUUUUAUUUAUUUAAUAUUUUUAAUAAUAGUAAAUUAACAAAAAUACCUUAAUAAUAAAAGAAUCAACAUAGCAGGGCAAUAGUGUUUUGGUAUUUUUUUUAUAAAUAAUUAAAUUAUACAUGCUCCCUUAAAUUCAAGAAAAGAAAAUAAUUGAGGUUAGGGGUAUUAGGAUUUUUUAGUCUAAUUUCUUUUUCUUGCAAUUGUAUGAUUGAUUGAAGGUACAAAUAUAAUUUAAUAUUUAAAUAAUAUUUUUAAUGUGAAAGAAAUGCUAGUAUAUUGGGGCUACUAUGUACUUUGGAUGGUGGCUCCCAAUGGUAAAAAAUAGACUUUGACUGUGUAAUUCUAUUCCUCAUUGUCUUCUCAUCUUUCAUCAUGUGUUGCAUGUGUUAAAAAUAAUAAUAAUAAUAAUAAUAAUAAUGUUGUCUUAACUAAAACUAGUUUUGUCAAUUUCCAUUUGUUUACGAAGGUGUCUUGAUCAAAAUUUUCCAAUAAAAGCAUGACACAUGUAUCAUUUAAUCAGCAAUUAAUUGGGUGUUAAAACAUGUAAUUAAGCAGGUCUCUCAUGCCCUCCUUUCGUAUCUGUCUUUAUUUGUUCAUAAAUAGGGAAGCAAAAAACAAAAAAAAAUCUCCAUCGAGAGAGCGACAUUAACUAGACCACGAACUUAUCUCGAGAUAUCAAAACUCAAAAAGAAAAAUUGAACGCUAAUCAAUUAAGACAGAGAAAAAUAAUUCUAACUUUUAGCUGUCGAAUUUGCUUCCUUCAAGUUUUCAGAGAUGCAAGGCAAAAGAAAGGACUAGAAUGAGAAUACCUAAUUUGAUUGUACCAGUAAGCUAUUUUUAAGAAAUUAGUUCGUAAGGACAAUCCUUGAAAUUGAAUCAAUUAAUCCCCUCUCCUUGCAGAAGAAAAAAGUAGCAGACUAUAUAAAUUAAUUCCUCGUCUCGUAUAUACUAACAAGUUAUUGGAAUAAUUUUUCUUUUCUCUAAGAAUAUAUGACAGAUCACAUUAAUGCGGGUUAGUCCAUUGUACCCUCUUUUGUUUUGGUUUAAAAAAUGGAUAUUUAAUAGUUUUAUUAUACAUCCAACAAGAAUUAUUGUAUUUUUCUCAUAAGUUAUUAUAUUUAUGUCAGGAUUUAAAUUUAUUAGGAAACCGUAGUGAAUAAGAUUAUUUGAUAUUGAUUUAUCUGUUAACUAUAUAUGAUUUAUUAAUCUCAAUUCAAUUUUGUUUUUUACUCUAGUAAUUGACCUGCAGACAAAAGUUGAUCUCGCCUCAAAGUUCCUCCCUUUUUAAAAAAAUUAACGCUGCUUAAAAUUAAAAAUUUGGUAAAAUAAUAUAUCCAUAAAAAUUAUAAACUCAGAAACGAAAAAGAAAAAAAAGCAAAGCCCAUUUAAUUUGCUAAAAUGAAUAUUAUAAAAAGAGUUGCUAAAAAAAAUAAUAAUUUAUUAAUAUCAAAGAAAAUACACAAGUUCUAAUUAAUAAAUCGAUAUACACAUGCCCCUCGUCUAAAAAAAAAUACAACCACAAGACAACCCACAUAUAAAAAAUAAAUCUUUAUUUCACUGUAUAAACAAAUAAAUAAAUUAUACAAUAUACUAAAAAGAGUCAAUGUUUUUUUUAAUAUUUACCUAGACUCAAAAUACUAUGGAUUGAAGCAGUGUAAUAGCAGCUUAGGCCCCCUUAACAAAGAGAGUUGCGAGGGCAGUGGAGUUGUCUUUUUAUUUGGAUGCAUUUGACAUUGAAUAGAUAGUUGGGGAGAAAAUGAUCACUUCAAGUUUAGGUGGGGCUACUCUAGGUGUCAGCCAAACUUGCUCACCCACAUGAGGACACCUGGCGUUUAGGUUGACCUGCACCACAUGGAGCUUGGACUGGCUUGCUCUUGCCAUGGGUGGCAACCAAGCCCGCGCACUCACGUUAGGAUACUUGACGCUUGGGCUGCCCUGCCCUUACCCUGGAUCUGACCUGAGCGCCACGUGGUGCUAGACUGGCAUGUCCUUGCCCUGACAAGAGCCAGACUCGCACCCUCACAUGAAAACACUCGACGCUGGGGUUGCCUUGCCUUGGACAAAGCCAAACCGCUCAACUUGGAUCCAAACAUGCUCCAAGCCCAAUAAACUGGUUUGGCAUGGAAGUGUCCAAGUCCAGUUAGAAGUACUAUAGCAACACUUGGAGUCCUGAUUUUAUUUCCCUAUCUUGGUAAACCGUUACCUAACACUAUUCCUCAUUUCAAACACUCAACGUAAUUUGUGUUAGCAUGGAAAGGUAGCACAAAAAAUUGAUUUCAAAUUAAUUAAUAGGAUUAAUUUAAGAUCAAAGUUGAAAAACUAAUUUUUAAAUGAUCAUUUAUCUGUUUUGUAAUGGGAUUAAUUUAAUGAGAUCAAAGUUGAAUUAAAAACUCAUUUUUAAAUGAUCAUUUAUCUGUUUUUUAAAGACCACGUACUAUAUCUUUGUAGCACUAUUGUCAGCCUGGCAAUGAAAGGCAACAUGGUAAUUAAAAACUUCAAAUUAGUGGUCAACAUUCAACACAUAAAAAAAUAGUGAGAAAGAAAGCAGUCGUUUUUCCAUGUCCCACUUCCACACAAAUGAUCUGUUAAUUUAAUCAAUUUUGAAUUAUGGGAUAGUGACCUAAUUAAUUUAACAAUUCAACAUCUUAAUAUUUUUAAUUGUAAGAGUACUUUCCUCGUCCAUGUUUGACGUCCUUUAUUCUAAACUCAUCCAAGCACUGGUUGUACAACGAAAAUCAAAACCAAACACAUAAAAUAUUAAGAGAGAAGUAGUUAUUUCUCCGUCAAAUAAUUAAAGGAGGAAAGUUUUUUUUUUUAGAGAGAGAAAAGAUGGAAAUAAUUUAAUUCUAUUCAAUGUGUGGGAAUGAAAAGAUCAUUGAUUAAAUUGACGCUAAGGGUUUAAGUAAUUAUGAUAAAGGAAAAUAAAUUGAUAAUAUGUCCAAAGAAUAAGGUCAUGUCUGCAAAUAACAGGGUUGCUCUCUUGGUUGAAAUCUGAUAGUUUUCCACUGUACUGAGUAAAAACAUGUGCAUAUAAAAAUAAAUCUUAAACGGAUAAGUGAUAACGUUGAAGUACAGGCGCUUGAAAAGAAAAACAUCGCAGUUUUCUUGUCUUAAAUUGGGCUGGGUUAGCCGAAAUGUACUCCAUUGAUCGAUUCAUAUAAAGUGACGCUCUUCUGAUAAAUAAUAAUAAAUUGAGGUGCUCAAACAAAAUAAGUAAAAGCUGAAACACUUGAACAGAAAUUUAACCAAAACAGAGGUACUAAAUAACGUCACAUCAUUGCUUCAAUUUUCAAACCAUGAUUAAAUUGUGCACCGAAAACUCCAGAUUUUUCAAACUGAUCAUGAAUCUGGCAUUACAUGCGUUUUAUUCGUACAGUGAUUACGAGGUAGAGAAUUCAAAUCUUCAUUGUGUUGCCGAUGUCGAUAACAAAUCGGUAUCUGACAUCUGUUUUCAAAAGCCGCUCCAUGGCCGUGUUCACAUAAUCCAUCGAGAUAACCUCAAUGUCUGCCGUGAUGUUGUUCUUGGCAGCAAAAUCAAUCAUCUCCUGUGUUUCCUUCAUUCCUCCUAUGCAACUCCCACCCACUAUUUUUCUUCCUGCCAACCCAAGAACAUGGAAUUCGUCGCUGUCAGCUCAAUAAAAUAAAUUUAGAACACAUGGUUGAGAUGCAAGCAUAUAUACAUACCCAUGAUCAGAGGAAACACUGGUAGCUCAAGUGGCUUUUCAGGCGCACCAACCAAGACCAGCUUUCCUUGAGUCUUCAAUAAACUAAUCAAAGGCAAGAUAGGAUGCAUGGCCGACACCGUGUCAAUGACACCAUCCAUUGUGCCCAUAGCAGCCUGAAUAACAGACAAUAUUAUAUUAUGUUUGAUGCUUAAUUAGUUUUACAGAUAAAUACAAGGAAUGUGCUCUGAACCACGUAUAUAUAUACCUGCAUCUCAUCCUGGUCACGACUAACCAAAAACGAGUCAGCGCCAAGAUGCUCAAGGGCUUCUUGUUUCUUCUUGGGAGAGGUGCUGAUAACUGUAACCUUGACCCCCAUGGCCUUUGCAAACUUUACAGCUACAUGACCUAGCCCGCCGAGCCCAACCACGCCCACAUGCAUACCCGGUUUGUCAAGAUUAAAAAACCUCAAGGGGCUGUAAACUGUAAUCCCAGCACAUAGGAGAGGUGCAGCGGCAUCUAGAGGUAGGUUGUCUGGAAUACGAACCACGAAGUGCUCAUCCGUGACCAUGCUGUCUGAGUAGCCUCCGUACGUGGUGGUUCCAUCGUGGUAUUUGGUACUGUAGGUGAGCAUCAUUUUUGGGCAAUAAUUCUCGAGAUCGCUGUUGCAACU